UACGUAGGGUGCAAGCGUUGUCCGGAAUUAUUGGGCGUAAAGAGCUCGUAGGCGGUCCGUCACGUCGGCUGUGAAAACCCGGGGCUCAACUCCGGGCCUGCAGUCGAUACGGGCGGACUAGAGUACUGCAGGGGAGACUGGAAUUCCUGGUGUAGCGGUGAAAUGCGCAGAUAUCAGGAGGAACACCGGUGGCGAAGGCGGAUCUCUGGGCCGAUACUGACGCUGAGGAGCGAAAGCGUGGGGAGCGAACAGG
rnacentral:rRNA from 1 species